UGGGGAAUCUUGCGCAAUGGGCGAAAGCCUGACGCAGCAACGCCGCGUGAGCGAAGACGGCCUUCGGGUUGUAAAGCUCUGUCAGGAGGGACGAAGCCGCUCAGGUGAAUAGCCGAGAGGGUGACGGUACCUCCAGAGGAAGCCCCGGCUAACUACGUGCCAGCAGCCGCGGUAAUACGUAGGGGGCAAGCGUUGUCCGGAAUCAUUGGGCGUAAAGCGCGUGUAGGCGGCCAUCCAAGUCUGGUGUGAAAGCUCGGGGCUCAACCCCGAGUCUGCACUGGAAACUGAAUGGCUUGAGUCCGGAAGAGGAGACUGGAAUUCCUGGUGUAGCGGUGAAAUGCGCAGAUAUCAGGAAGAACACCGGUGGCGAAGGCGGGUCUCUGGGACGGUACUGACGCUAAGAUACGAAAGCGUGGGGAGCAAACA
rnacentral:rRNA from 1 species